ACGGGUGAGUAACACGUGGGAACGUACCCUUUGGUUCGGAAUAACGCUGGGAAACUAGCGCUAAUACCGGAUACGCCCUUUUGGGGAAAGGCUUGCUGCCGAAGGAUCGGCCCGCGUCUGAUUAGCUAGUUGGUGGGGUAAUGGCCUACCAAGGCGACGAUCAGUAGCUGGUCUGAGAGGAUGAUCAGCCACACUGGGACUGAGACACGGCCCAGACUCCUACGGGAGGCAGCAGUGGGGAAUAUUGGACAAUGGGCGCAAGCCUGAUCCAGCCAUGCCGCGUGAGUGAUGAAGGCCUUAGGGUUGUAAAGCUCUUUUGUCCGGGACGAUAAUGACGGUACCGGAAGAAUAAGCCCCGGCUAACUUCCUGCCAGCAUCCUCGGUAAUACAAAAGGGGCUAGCGUUGCUCGGAAUCACUGGGCGUAAAGGGCGCGUAGGCCGCCAUUCAAGUCGGGGGUGAAGGCCUGUGGCUCAACCACCGAAUUGCCUUCGAUACUGUUUGGCUUGAGUCUGGUACAGGUCGGUGGAACUGCAAUUGUAGAGAUGA
rnacentral:rRNA from 1 species